GGCAUCACUGACUCAAUGGACGUGAGUCUCAGUGAACUCCAGGAGUUGGUGAUGGACAGGGAGGCCUGGUGUGUUGCAGUUCAUGGGGUCGCAAAGAGUCGGACACGACUGAGCGACUGAUCUGAUUAUAGCCAUAGCUCUCAUGUUGUUUAAUCCUCUUUGAAACUCUGAGUCAUUAGUGUCCCAACAGGAACUGGACACUGUUUCAGAUAGGAAAAUUGAAGCACUAGCUCUUCAUAGAUUCUGUAACAAGUUGGUGUUGAAACCAAAAAUGAACCCUCCCCUUUCCUAGUUUCCAACUAAAAUUUGUGUAAUAUUUCUGCCCUUUUCUUCAGCUUUUGAGUUGUGGGCUCUAGUUGUUUUUUAAACAACUGUCUGUAUGUUUGCAGCUUGAUCUGUGCUCUAAUAGCCAUUGCCUCCAUGCUCUUUUGGAUUUCUUAAACUAUCUAGUUCAUUCCUUGGAAAAAGUUGUGUCUCCAAUAACUGAUGAAUGAAGAGCAAGCCAUCAGCAGGGUGCACGGCAUCCUGCUGAGCUAUGGCAUAGAGGAGGAGUCGGACCUGUAUGUGCUGAACCUCAUCUGAUAAGUCACUGUCUGCUAGGAGGAAGUUGGUUUCUGAAGUCCUUUCUGAGAUACAAGCAUUUAAUGGAUCAUCUUUACCACGGACGCUGCUGUGAAUGUCUUACAGCUACACAGCCACAACUAAGUGCUCCCUGAGUGUGGACCCUGGGUGGGCGUUGUGGAGUCUGAUGGAGCACCCUCUCCUCGCCGAGGCAGAAGCCUGCGUGUGCCAACACCUCCCUGACCUCUACACUGCCCCUGCUCAAGAAAACUACCAUCCAACUGACACAUGAACAAACAGCUGAUCCUAAGACACAAAGUGGGGCCUCUCCAGGUGGUGAAAAUAAUGAUGUUUGCAGGUAAGGGGCUGCCAUUCCUGGAAGAUUUCUUGUCACUGCGUCCCCCUUCCCACCACCUGCCAGAGUGUCUUUACCUUAAUCUGUUAUUGAACUGCUACAAUUAAAUCAUCCAAAAAGCAGUUGUUAAGGAAUAAUUGCUUUUUCUUCCUACUCCAGGGGGCAUCCACCCUGGAUGGACAGAUGGCCUAUCUGGUGGGGGUUGAUCUGGCCUGUUACCUAUCAACACAUCUGCUCAGACAUGGAUGGCUGUGGGGUGGCUGGUCAUGUGACUUUCUUGUUCAGUGUCAGGAGCUCCUGGGUUUCUGUACGGUGAAGCUUAGAAGGGCCUCCCACCUUCACAUGCAUACCCAGAUGAAUGUCUAGUGUUCUGCCAGGGUUACUUAGUUGUGUUGCCUGGCUCCUAAAGUGCUUGGUCACUUUUUGUCUGAUCUUUGCUCAUACGGCUUUCCCUCCCUGUGUGUUACAGGCACACAGCUGAGGAGCAGACUGAAGCCCAGGGAGGUCAAGGGGCACCUGGCUGGAGCUGCCAGGGCCUCAACCCCAACCCAGGUGGCUCUGCCUGCACUCUGCUGCUCCCUUCACCACCUGGCAUUUAGUUCUCAUCGGUACUAAGAGCGUGCCGCUGUCAGGUGCCUGGCUGCAGCGAGAUGAGCGUGGGAAGAUCCUGAUUAGGGCACCGUGGGAGUGUGUCUUCCUGGUCAGAGGUGACCCCCUUCCUCUUGGCAUCCCCAGGCACUGGGAAGACCUCCACCCUGGUCACUUAUGCCGAGAAGUGGUCUCAGAGCAGAUUUCCACACGUGACCUUCAACAAGAACAUCACCAGGUAGCCGGAGCUCACCUCCCCAAGCCACGUCAUCUGCAAGACAUUCCACUCCGUGGCCUGCAAUCAUGUCGAGCUCCUGGUGCCGCUGUCACCGUCACAUCCGGUCACUGCUUUUCACAGGAGAGAACUUAGUGCCUAAUCUCCCUUUAUAGGCAGGGAAUAUAACAAAAGAUUUAGUGAUUUAUACUUUUACCCCAGAGAGAUACAUUGUCACCCAGGGAGGCAGGCUUGUGUGUCUGGAGUUUAGGCACGGGUCAGACGACGUGUCUGCAGUCCCGGGCACCAAUGGCCUGGUUGACCCGUUCAGAUCAGACUCUCCUUGGAAGCAGGAGGGGAAAGGACAAGGCUAAGAGGCACCAGACCCAGGCUCCUGAGGCCUCUGAGUUGUGUUCCCUGGGAUAGGAAGGCUUCAGGGAGCUUCAAGGUCCCCCUGGGAUAAGAAGGUUUCAGGGAGCUUUGAGGUCCCCCUGGGGCCUACUGGAGUCCUGUCUACACUAUGGAAGAGUGGUGUCUGUUGUGAGCCACUUUGUCUCCUGGGUUAUUAGAUGUGGAUUUUGGAAAGCCGAAUGGAGCUCUUUCCAGUCCCACGUGGCCUGGAAGCACUCAGCCCUUUAAGCCUUUUUCCUCACCUGGAUGAGCCAUUGCCAGGGACCUGGUGGUGUCAUCAGAGAGACGGGGGCAGGGCCUGGGGGACACAAGUCCCACGUGGCCAGGAAGGCCCACCCUGUGCCCUCAGGACGUGCCUUCCAGAUACCAGUUGAGAAAGAAGCUGAAUCUCUUCAAGUCAACCCCCUUCAUGGUCAACUGUCUCCUUGCUGAAGGGAAGGGUGGCUUCAUUAGGGCCACGCCCGUGUGUAACACUCUGGAGGCCUUCUUCACCUCGGCCGACGAGAAGCUGAUGAUCGACCAUGUGCCCAUCUCGUGCAAGAAUAGCCAGGGGCAGCAAGUCAUGGUGGAACAGAGCAAAAAGCUGUCCUCCCUACCUAGCUUUUUUGUCAGUCCAUUCUGAAGGAGAUCAGCCCUGGGAUUUCUUUGGAAGGAAUGAUGCUGAAGCUGAAACUCCAGUACUUUGGCCACCUCAUGCGAAGAGUUGACUCAUUGGAAAAGACUGAUGCUGGGAGG